rnacentral:rRNA from 1 species
AUUGAACGCUGGCGGCAGGCCUAACACAUGCAAGUCGAGCGGAUGAAGGGAGCUUGCUCCUGGAUUCAGCGGCGGACGGGUGAGUAAUGCCUAGGAAUCUGCCUGGUAGUGGGGGAUAACGUCCGGAAACGGGCGCUAAUACCGCAUACGUCCUGAGGGAGAAAGUGGGGGAUCUUCGGACCUCACGCUAUCAGAUGAGCCUAGGUCGGAUUAGCUAGUUGGUGGGGUAAAGGCCUACCAAGGCGACGAUCCGUAACUGGUCUGAGAGGAUGAUCAGUCACACUGGAACUGGGACACGGUCCAGACUCCUACAGGAGGCAGCAGUGGGGAAUAUUGGGCAAUGGGCGAAAGCCUGAUCCAGCCAUGCCGCGUGUGUGAAGAAGGUCUUCGGAUUGUAAAGCACUUUAAGUUGGGAGGAAGGGCAGUAAGUUAAUACCUUGCUGUUUUGACGUUACCAACAGAAUAAGCACCGGCUAACUUCGUG